rnacentral:lncRNA from 1 species
UGAUCCCUCUUAUAGCAUGUUGAAGGCGCGGCAUGGAAGAUCCGAAAGCCACGCAGCUGGGAUCGCGGUUGAAACUUAUUGCGGACGCUUAGGAGCCUGCUGGGAGCGGAUGAGACGCGUGGAGGUUUGGAAGAUAGGAACGUAGCUGAAACGCAUGGAUUUGAAUGUAGAACCCACGGAUGAAACACAGAUUGGAUGAAGUCGAAUCGCUUGGGACUCUUCGGCUACUGGAACGCUUCCGUUGUUGCUUGGAUGCAUGGAAUACGCGGGGGCGAUGCGUGCUCUGUUCAUUGGAGAUAUGCUUCACAGGUAGAUGGGAUGAGAAGCUGGGAAGACAUUAACGUUGGGAAGUUGAGAAGACUCCUUAGAUAGCUGGAAUUUAUUUGCUGUACAGGAAGUAAAGGACUUGGCUUGGAAUGAUCCGAUUGGGAGGUUGCUGGGAUGUUGAAACGCGGUUGAAUGUUCUGGGAGGUCACGGACAGUUGAGAAGUUGGGAAAUUUCAAAGCCCCCAUGCUACGGACAUUGGAAAAUCAUUUGCUUCAGCCUGUAGACGUGGAUGCAUGGAAAUUUUAGGUUAGGAACCGUUGGAUCGCCUCAUCACGAACGCUGGGGAAUUUGUUGAGCUCGGUCUGCCGGGCAUUGGCCUCAAACCCAGCGUUAUUGGAUCUCUUGUAUUACUUUGCACUCAAACACAAAUAAAACAUUAAUUAAUCAAUUUUAUUAAUAAAGAUUAGCUAUAAUACUAAUUAAGAUGGUAUAAAAAUUUCACUUUUGUGCUCUCAUCAGCUGCUCACCACUCCGACGAGAUUCUCUGGACUCGCCAUGUAUCUGUUUUCCCACCUCUAGGGUGUAUUUUUUCUUUGGACUCACAGGGCAGUGCUCACGCGAGAUUAGUAUGAGCAGCGGAUGUACCAAAAAAAAAGGUCCAAAAGGUGAUGCCUAGAUAUAAUCAAAUAAUUAGAUCCGACCAUGUGCCAAGCAUAUGAUUAUUCUCACAAAAAUCUUGGCACUUAGCAUACGCAUUGUACGCAGCAGAAAUUACGAAUGCCUACAACCUUCCGAUCAGUGUUUCCUAUUAUAUUACUUAUGUCAAAUACUUGAAAAGGAAUAAGAUUGGAAUACGAAAAUGUCCUUCCAUCUGUAAGAGGGCUGCAACCAUCAGGGAAUAUACCAUUUUGCAGUUAUAACUUGUUAAUUAUUUGUAUGAUUACUCUUGUUAUUUAGAGGCGCAUUUCUUUUCUUUCUCACUGUUAAGAGGAAAAUAGAAAUAAUAUAAUAUGGAAGAAGAAAGCCCGAGAGCUCCAAGUUUUGAUUUAACAGUAGAACAGAUGUACAUGCAAGGUUGUGAUUUCAUGCUAAUGUUGAAAAUUUGAAAUGUGUUCAAGCCAGUACUGCAUGCCCAAUGUAUAUCUCUGUGAGAAUUGGCACCCAAAAAGGGCUGAAGCCAGCAGGCCCAGCCGACUUCAGCCCAGGGCCCUCUGCUCGUGCGGUACGAGGGCGGAGACGCUGCGGCAACUCCGCGGCCUCUUGAGUGGCCGCGGAUCCCGCACAACCGCCGCGAUGCUCGGGGGCGGUGAACGAGCCACGGCCAUUCCGAAGACCGCCUAUUAC